UACAUUGUGAUAGGGUUAAGGUGAGAUGUAAUGAGAGGAAAUGAUAGGAUUUAGGCUUAUUUGGUGGGAGAGGAUUUUAGUUUUCACACUAGAGUUUAUCCUUAUGGUUAGGUCACUAAAAUUUUAUGAAAAGAAGAAAAUGUGAGCCUUGGAGAAUCAUUUUGGUGGGUAUAAAAAUAUUGAAAGAAAGAGGCGGAGGAGAGCACGAAAAAGAGAAAUAAAAAUAGAGAAAGAAGGAGAAGAGGAAGGGGUUUCAAGAAUCUCUAGGUGCCUAAGGAUUGAUUUGCUUUGUGUUCUUGAACACUACAAAGAAGGUAGACACUAGGUAGACUUUUUUGGCACGCAUGGUGAACUGAGUCAGUUUUUCAUAAGUAUGUAUGUAUGCUGUGGGGAGCCAUUGAACGAGAAAAUGAUCUGGAACGCCAUAGUGCCUAAGAGUCUUUCAUUAUGUUAAUUUAUCAGUGGGGUGUACUUAUUUAUUUUUAAGACUGCAUCAAAUUCUCUUUUGUUUUGAACAUUGGAUCCAAUCUCUGCAUCUAUUUUAGAUAAAGACCCACUGUAUUUUCAGUUAGAUUAUGUAAUCUAUGAAGUUAUUAUGAAAAUUAUAAUUUUAAUAGAGAUAGGAAAUUAGGGGCGUUAUAAAAUGUUAUCAGAGUUAGUCGUUCAACUCUUGGCUUCAAGGAAUCCCUCAACAUACAUAUUGAAGACUGGGCAACAAACAUGACUCACAGUGUCUCAUGCCUUCUGAGGAAGCCUUUGACAUAUACACAAACGGCAAAGCUCUAGCAAGCAAAAAGCGAGCAAGCAAGAGGCACCCUGUUGAGAGCAGCAGUGAUCCCUCCAAGAAAAAAGCUCGAAUAGAGGACCCUCCAGCGCCCACUCCUUCCAGGACCAUGACACCUCCUCCUCUUCCUUGCAAUAUCCUUACCCCCGAGCAGGCGGGGAGACCUUCGGCCAACUACCUGCUGAGUGGCGCCUACCAUGCUACCCACUAGUUGCAAAGGCUAUCGAAGCAGCGCCGUAGCCAGGAAGAUUUUUUGCAUCUCCCUCCGCUACAGAACAUCCAGAUAAUCAGUCGCAGACUGUUUGAUGUUCUCAAUGGUAUCCUGACCAUAGGGCAUAGCUAGCGUCGAGCUGAGGAGACUGAGGCCAGAUUUGCCAUGGAGAUCAAGGCAGCUGAGGCUAGACAUGCCAAGGAGAUCAAGGCGGCCAAGGCCAGACAUGUUGAGGAGAAAAAGGCUGCUGAGGCUAGAGUUGCCAGUCUUAUCGAGGAGUUAAGGAAGUGCCAAGAGUCGGUGGCCAAAGUUAUUGCCGUCAAGGAGAAGUUUAUGGAGGCUUCAGAGAUUAACUUUAAAGAAGUAGCCAAGCUUCAAGAUGACUUGGUGAUCAGCUGGAGGAGCGAGUUAAACUGCUCGAGGGAACCAACUCUUGCAAUCUGGAGAAGUUCAAAGGAGCGACCUUUAAAUGCUUCUGCUUGUUCCAGAAAAAAAAUCCAGAGGUGAAAUUCGACUAUCUUCCCGAGCAGGUAAAGUAGGCUAAACUGGAAUAGUGUGACGCUCGUCCGACGAAGGAACAGAAAUCUCCGAAAUCCCCUAAAAUCUCCUUGGCGAUUGGCACCGAAGCUGUUGAAGAGGAUCCGGGGACCUCAAUCCCAACCAGAUCAUUCUGCUGCUCAGUGAUUUAAAUAAUCUAUUUUUUUGUAUAUAUUUGUAUCUGGAACAUGCGAACUACGGUUCGUAAUGUUGAGACAAUUUUGCUGCUCAAGGCAGCUUUCCUUUUAAUUUAUUAAUUACAU